UACAGAGGGGGGCAAGCGUUAUUCGGAAUUAUUGGGCGUAAAGGGCGCGUAGGCGGCCAUUCAAGUGACGGGUGAAAGCCCUCGGCUUAACCGAGGAACUGCCUGUCAGACUGGAUGGCUUGAGACCGGGAGAGGUGAGUGGAAUUCCCAGUGUAGCGGUGAAAUGCGCAGAUAUCAGGAAGAACACCCGUGGCGAAAGCGGCUCUCUGGAACGGUACUGACGCUGAGACGCGAAAGCGUGGGGAGCGAACAGG
rnacentral:rRNA from 1 species